CCUUAUUCUCGCUGUCUCGGGAGCUAGGGUUUCUUCUCUCUCUUUCUAUCUCAUAUCUCAAUCUUCGACGCCAUGAUGCAGCAGCCAGGAGCUGGAGGCAUGCCCCCUCCACAGCCACCCAUGGGGCCGCCGCAACCGCCAGCAAUCGCUCCACCACCUCCACAAGCUCACCCCCAGCAAUACCAGCAAGCUCCCCCACAACCUUAUAUGAUGAUGAUGCCUCAACUGCCCCAGUCCCAGCCUCCUCCACCAGCUAUGUGGGCUCACCAGCCUUCGAUGCCUCCCGCGGCCGCGCCACCGCAGCAGCAACAAUUCCAGCACUCCCAGCAACAGCAACCGGGUCAACCUGCUAG
rnacentral:misc_RNA from 1 species